rnacentral:lncRNA from 1 species
UAUUUGUGCAUGACUUAAAGGAAGGCAGAGGAUUUCCAGUCUGGUUCCUCUAUUUUGUCUGCUCCUUCUACUGAAUCAGUUCUACUUACAACUCCAGAUGAUUUUGCACAAGGCCAGCCUCACAUUCGGUCACAAAUCUUUCAUUGCACCAUCUGAGGUGUGAGCAGUGUGUAAAAGCCAAACAGGCUGGAAAUACUGCAGAAGAAAUAGUUGGUUAAGGGGUGAGAAAAUGAAAUGGUUAUUAGUGACUGAAGGCUAUUAACAACUCCCAGCUGUUUAGUGAUCAACGUGAUCAGUGCAGCUCCUAGAGAAGAGCUAUUCACACCACAGUCACUCUGGCACUGAAUAUUAACCAUUUUAGCUAUCGUGGCAGAGAGGAAAAUAACUGAAUGGGUGCAGGCUAAACUCUCUUCCCAAUCCCAGAAACCGGCUCCAGGUCAGAUUUGAGGCACAUUGGCAUGGCAACAUGCGGAAACUUUCACUGCUGUUACUGUCGCUGAACCUGUUCUAUGAAUAGAGAACUCUAUUCUCCAAGCCUGUCAAUCUGUCACCAAGAGAAAUUUGAAAGGAAAAUUAAAAGGUUAACUGCUUCCCUCUCCAAAAAUAACAUUUAAGUUCUCGCUCAAAUGUUUGGUUGUUUGGGUGCUUUUACUCAGAUUCCAAAGUCUGUUGACAUCUCCCUAUUUCUCAUCUCCUAUUUUUCUGAGCUUCCUUUCUGGGACUGCUAAAACUAGUAGCAGAGUGGAUCCAAACAGUUCUGGAUGAAAGAUGCUCAUGGAUUAACACAAGGCUGGCACUGACUGGAAAAACCUCGCAGGACAAGCUAGUUACUCUCCAGGGGACUGAAAAAAGCAUCAAGACACCCUGGGGAAUAGUGCAACAACAUAACAAGUAUUCCUUCUUCCAGAAUAUUUUAGGAAGUGCCCCUGACUGUGUGACAUCUGGAUACCAUUAUCAGACUGACAAGAGUAUGGUUUCACUUUUACAUGGCACCGCAUGGUCGCGAAGAUGCACAGAUGCAUCUAGAACCAGCUGGUUGCUUCCUACCCGCUGUCUACCACAUUGCUCUCAGUGUAGCUGCCUAUCAUCCAGACAGCUCUGCUGAAGAAAUGGAGAAGCUAAUUUAAUGCACAAAGAUAGAAAUUACCAGUAGAUCUGAUAUUGUUUAAGUGACUGAAAAUACUUUUUUUAAGUAGCCACAAUGCAGUAUUCUCAAAGCUAGUGCUCAUAUUUGGAUACUGAAGGAAGGAGAGAUUUGUAAAUGCUUAAGAAGCAUCUUUGAUGUUUAGGUUUUUAUGUCCCUUUGAUCAGAGAUUAGCUGCUAAAAUGCCGAAAAAUAUGUGGGGUUUAAAGAUGUAUGGAGUGAUCUCCAAUAGCAAUAAAAUCCUCUACACCAAUAUAUUUGUCA